rnacentral:rRNA from 1 species
GACGUAGGGCGCGAGCGUUGUCCGGAUUUAUUGGGCGUAAAGAGCUCGUAGGCGGCUUGUCGCGUCGACCGUGAAAACUUGGGGCUCAACCCCAAGCCUGCGGUCGAUACGGGCAGGCUCGAGUUCGGUAGGGGAGACUGGAAUUCCUGGUGUAGCGGUGAAAUGCGCAGAUAUCAGGAGGAACACCAAUAGCGAAGGCAGCUCGCUGGGACGGUACUGACACUGAGGCGCGAAAGCGUGGGGAGCGAACAGG